AUUGAACGCUGGCGGCGUGCUUUACACAUGCAAGUCGGACGAGUGGCGAACGGGUGAGUAACGCCUCGGAACGUACCGGGUGAUGGGGGAUAACUGUCCGAAAGGAUAGCUAAUACCGCAUAUUAUUCGAGCUGCCGAGGUUUGAUUAGCUGGUUGGCGGGGUAAAGGCCCACCAAGGCGACGAUCAGUAGAGGGUCUGAGAGGAUGAUCAGCCACACUGGGACUGAGACACGGCCCAGACUCCUACGGGAGGCAGCAGUGGGGAAUUUUGGACAAUGGGCGCAAGCCUGAUCCAGCCAUGCCGCGUGUCUGAAGAAGGCCUUCGGGUUGUAAAGGACUUUUGUCAGGGAGGCGGUACCUGAAGAAUAAGCACCGGCUAACUACGUGCCAGCAGCCGCGGUAAUUC
rnacentral:rRNA from 1 species